CUACGGGGUGCUGUAGUGGGGAAUAUUGCACAAUGGGGGAAACCCUGAUGCAGCGACGCCGCGUGAGUGAAGAAGUAUUUCGGUAUGUAAAGCUCUAUCAGCAGGGAAGAAAAUGACGGUACCUGACUAAGAAGCCCCGGCUAACUACGUGCCAGCAGCCGCGGUAAUACGUAGGGGGCAAGCGUUAUCCGGAUUUACUGGGUGUAAAGGGAGCGUAGACGGUGAGACAAGUCUGAAGUGAAAUCCCGGGGCUCAACCCCGGAACUGCUUUGGAAACUGCCUGACUGGAGUGCAGGAGAGGUAAGUGGAAUUCCUAGUGUAGCGGUGAAAUGCGUAGAUAUUAGGAGGAACACCAGUGGCGAAGGCGGCUUACUGGACUGUAACUGACGUUGAGGCUCGAAAGCGUGGGGAGCAAACAGGAUUAGAUACCCCCGUAGUC
rnacentral:rRNA from 1 species